rnacentral:rRNA from 1 species
UAUGACUCUCGGCAAUGGAUAUCUUGGCUCUUGCCUCGAUGAAGAACGCAACGAAAUGCGAUACGUGGUGCGAAUUGCAGAAUCCCGUGAACCAUCGAGUUUUUGAACGCAAGUUGCGCCUGAGGCCAACUGGCCAAGGGCACGUUCGCCUGGGCGUCAUGC